GCGGCCCGCUUUAGGCGUGGUUGUGGCUGCAUUUUUAAAUUUCUGCAAUGUGGCACAGAACUCGGAUGUUGCAACAAGUUCAACUGCAUAGUUCCUGAGGAUGAUGAGGACUAAAUAGAAAAAUAAUUUGAUGUUUAACAAAAAAUAAAUAAAAAAUGAUCGAAGUU